UACGUAGGGGGCAAGCGUUGUCCGGAUUUAUUGGGCGUAAAGCGCACGCAGGCGGUCUGUUCAGUUUGGAGUGACAGUUCCUGGCUCAACCGGGAAAGUGCUUCGAAUACUGGCGGACUUGAGGGCUUCAGAGGGACACGGAAUUCCGGGUGGAGUGGUGAAAUGCGUAGAGAUCCGGAGGAACACCAAGGCGAAGGCAGUGUCCUGGGGAGUACCUGACGCUCAGGUGCGAAAGCCAGGGGAGCGAACGGG
rnacentral:rRNA from 1 species